rnacentral:rRNA from 1 species
UAAGACGAACCGUGCGAACGUUGUUCGGAAUCACUGGGCUUAAAGGGCGCGUAGGCGGUUUGCCAAGUCAGGGGUGAAAUCCUGCAGCUCAACUGUAGAAGUGCCUUUGAUACUGGCGAACUCGAGGGAGGUAGGGGUGGGUGGAACUUCUGGUGGAGCGGUGAAAUGCGUUGAUAUCAGAAGGAACGCCGGUGGCGAAAGCGACCCACUGGACCUCUUCUAACGCUGAGGCGCGAAAGCUAGGGGAGCAAACGGGAUUAGAUACCCCGGUAGUCCUAGCCCUAAACGAUGGGUACUAGAUUGUAGACUGAUCAUGGGUUUACAGUCGAAGCAAAAGUUAUAAGUACCCCGCCUGGGGAGUAUGGUCGCAAGGCUG